rnacentral:rRNA from 1 species
ACAGUGUCUGGUGGGUAGUUUGACUGGGGCGGUCUCCUCCUAAAGAGUAACGGAGGAGCACGAAGGUUGGCUAAUCCUGGUCGGACAUCAGGAGGUUAGUGCAAUGGCAUAAGCCAGCUUGACUGCGAGCGUGACGGCGCGAGCAGGUGCGAAAGCAGGUCAUAGUGAUCCGGUGGUUCUGAAUGGAAGGGCCAUCGCUCAACGGAUAAAAGGUACUCCGGGGAUAACAGGCUGAUACCGCCCAAGAGUUCAUAUCGACGGCGGUGUUUGGCACCUCGAUGUCGGCUCAUCACAUCCUGGGGCUGAAGUAGGUCCCAAGGGUAUGGCUGUUCGCCAUUUAAAGUGGUACGCGAGCUGGGUUUAGAACGUCGUGAGACAGUUCGGUCCCUAUCUGCCGUGGGCGCUGGAGAACUGAGGGGGGCUGCUCCUAGUACGAGAGGACCGGAGUGGACGCAUCACUGGUGUUCGGGUUGUCAUGCCAAUGGCACUGCCCGGUAGCUAAAUGCGGAAGAGAUAAGUGCUGAAAGCAUCUAAGCACGAAACUUGCCCCGAGAUGAGUUCUCCCUGACUCCUUGAGAGUCCUGAAGGAAC